UGGGGAAUAUUGCACAAUGGGCGCAAGCCUGAUGCAGCCAUGCCGCGUGUAUGAAGAAGGCCUUCGGGUUGUAAAGUACUUUCAGCGGGGAGGAAGGGAGUAAAGUUAAUACCUUUGCUCAUUGACGUUACCCGCAGAAGAAGCACCGGCUAACUCCGU
rnacentral:rRNA from 1 species